rnacentral:rRNA from 1 species
GGGAAUACUGCAAAGCUAGGGAGUGGGAGAGGUAGACGGUACUCGGUAGGAAGGGGUAAAAUCCUUUGAUCUAUUGAUGACCACCUGUGGCGAAGGCGGUCUACCAGAACACGUCCGACGGUGAGGGAUGAAAGCUGGGGGAGCAAACCGGAUUAGAUACCCGGGUAGUCCCAGCUGUAAACGAUGCAGACUCGGUGAUGCUCUGGCUUGUGGCCAGUGCAGUGCCGCAGGGAAGCCGUUAAGUUUGCCGCCUGGGAAGUACGUACGCAAGUAUGAAACUUAAAGGAAUUGGCGGGGGAGCACCACAAGGGGUGAAGCCUGCGGUUCAAUUGGAGUCAACGCCAGAAAUCUUACCCGGAGAGACAGCAGAAUGAAGGUCAAGCUGAAGACUUUACCAGACAAGCUGAGAGGUGGUGCAUGGCCGUCGCCAGCUCGUGCCGCGAGAUGUCCUGUUAAGUCAGGUAACGAGCGAGAUCCUUGCCUCUAGUUGCCACCAUUACUCUCAGGAGUAGUGGGGCGAAUUAGCGGGACCGCCGCAGUUAAUGCGGAGGAAGGAAGGGGCCACGGCAGGUCAGUAUGCCCCGAAACUCUGGGGCCACACGCGGGCUGCAAUGGUAGUGACAAUGGGUUCCAAAACCGAAAGGUGGAGGUAAUCCUCAAACGCUACCACAGUUAUGAUUGAGGGCUGCAACUCGUCCUCAUGAAUAUGGAAUCCCUAGUAACUGCGUGUCAUUAUCGCGCGGUGAAUACGUCCCUGCUCCUUGCACACACCGCCCGU